rnacentral:lncRNA from 1 species
AACGCGCCAGCUAUAUCCCAGCUGUGGAAGAAGACCACGACAACGAACGCGGAAGCAAUGGCGCGAGCGCGUUCGCGCGGUUGCGCCGUGCUGCGUCAUCGAGCCAGCUGUGGAAGAAGACG